GCACUUUCAGUAGGGAGGAAGGUAGUGUAGUUAAUACCUGCAUUAUUUGACGUUACCUACAGAAGAAGCACCGGCUAACUCCGUGCCAGCAGCCGCGGUAAUACGGAGGGUGCGAGCGUUAAUCGGAAUUACUGGGCGUAAAGCGCAUGCAGGCGGCCUGUUAAGUCAGAUGUGAAAGCCCCGGGGCUUAACCUCGGAAUUGCAUUUGAAACUGGCAGGCUAGAGUCUUGUAGAGGGGGUAGAAUUUCAGGUGUAGCGGUGAAAUGCGUAGAGAUCUGAAGGAAUACCAGUGGCGAAGGCGGCCCCCCUGGACAAAGACUGACGCUCAGAUCGCGAAAGCGUGGGGAGCUAAACAGGAUUAGAUACCCCUCGGUAG
rnacentral:rRNA from 1 species